UACGUAGGGUGCAAGCGUUGUCCGGAAUUAUUGGGCGUAAAGAGCUCGUAGGCGGUUUGUCGCGUCGGCUGUGAAAACCUGGGGCUCAACCCCGAGCUUGCAGUCGAUACGGGCAGACUAGAGUGCUGUAGGGGAGACUGGAAUUCCUGGUGUAGCGGUGAAAUGCGCAGAUAUCAGGAGGAACACCGGUGGCGAAGGCGGGUCUCUGGGCAGUAACUGACGCUGAGGAGCGAAAGCGUGGGGAGCAAACAGG
rnacentral:rRNA from 1 species